rnacentral:rRNA from 1 species
AUGCACGCUGGCGGCGUGCUUAACACAUGCCAGUCGCACGGAAAGGCCCAAGCUUGCUUGGGUACUCGAGUGGCGAACGGGUGAGUAACACGUGGGUGAUCUGCCCUGCACUUCGGGAUAAGCCUGGGAAACUGGGUCUAAUACCGGAUAGGACCACUUCUUGGAUGUUGUGGUGGAAAGUUUUUUCGGUGUGGGAUGAGCUCGCGGCCUAUCAGCUUGUUGGUGGGGUAAUGGCCUACCAAGGCGUCGACGGGUAGCCGGCCUGAGAGGGUGUACGGCCACAUUGGGACUGAGAUACGGCCCAGACUCCUACGGGAGGCAGCAGUGGGGAAUAUUGCACAAUGGGCGCAAGCCUGAUGCAGCGACGCCGCGUGGGGGAUGACGGCCCUCGGGUUGUAAACUCCUUUCGCUAGGGACGAAGCGUUUUUGUGACGGUACCUGGAGAAGAAGCACCGGCUAACUACGUG